rnacentral:rRNA from 1 species
ACGAAGGAUGCAAGCGUUAUCCGGAUUCAUUGGGUUUAAAGGGAGCGUAGGCGGCCUUGUAAGUCAGUGGUGAAAUCUCUCGGCUUAACUGAGAAACUGCCAUUGAUACUGCAGGGCUUGAGUACAGUUGCCGUUGGCGGAAUAUGACAUGUAGUGGUGAAAUACAUAGAGAUGUCAUAGAACACCGAUUGCGAAGGCAGCUGACGAAACUGUAACUGACGCUGAGGCUCGAAAGUGUGGGGAUCAAACAGGA